rnacentral:lncRNA from 1 species
UAGCUGCCCCAGGAGCCCUUUGGCCCCCACUGGCUGCUUCUCCUAUUUCAAUUUCCAUGUCCUCUCGGUUUUGUAACUCAAGGAGCUCCCCUGGCUUAGGAACAGCUGACAACUCCACAGCUCCCAGCAGUGGCACCUGGAGAAGGGGCGGAUGGGCACUGACUUGUGGGCGUGCUCUGGGGCACCCCGUCCCCAGCUGUCAUGAGUCAUUUACAAGCAAAGAACAAGCACAUGACCAAGGACAAAGAGAACAUCUUGACCAUGUGAUCGUCAAGCCAGUCUACCAAGGUUGAGCAGAGAAUGGAGAGAUGCUAAAAGCCAAACUGCCCCAUUUAUGAGGUGCGGCCACCGUGGAGAGAAAUGACAUUUUUUGAAAAUAAAAGCAGAACAUGCCGGAGUUCAUGUUUCCAAAUGAGCAUUGUCCUUUGAGGUCACCUGGGAAGCAGGGCACUUUUUCCAAUGCGAUGUGUCACUCAGGUGAUUUUGAACUCUUCUGGGAUCUUCCCUGGAGGUAAAUUAUAAAUCACUUUCACAUCUGAAUAUGAUUUUUUUCCCUCCUUUAACUUAUUCAAGAUGUUCUUGGUUGGACAAAUAUUUUACAAGUCUUCAUUGUAGGCAAGCAAGGGAGGAAACACCAUUUAUUCAUCAGUGACUGCUUUCCAGGAACUUUGCGUGGCUUAUCUGAGUCACCUCGCAAUGACUUUGAGGGGCUGGCAUCACCAUCUCCAGUUUAAAGAUGAACAAAUGGGCAUCCCCACGUGUGUACGCCUAAUCUCAGCUGGUCCACCUGAGACCCCCUGAACACCCACCCUAGACUCCCGCACUGCCCCUUAUCUCCUCCGACAAGAUGAAAGAAAUAAUCAUGAACCAGGGAAAACUCCACAAAUUACAGGUACAAGUGCGCAUUGGUGGGAAAGGAACUGCCGG